GACGUAGGGCGCGAGCGUUGUCCGGAUUUAUUGGGCGUAAAGAGCUCGUAGGCGGCUUGUUGCGUCGACCGUGAAAACCCGCGGCUUAACUGCGGGCUUGCGGUCGAUACGGGCGGGCUGGAGUUCGGUAGGGGAGACUGGAAUUCCUGGUGUAGCGGUGAAAUGCGCAGAUAUCAGGAGGAACACCGGUGGCGAAGGCGGGUCUCUGGGCCGAUACUGACGCUGAGACGCGAAAGCGUGGGGAGCAAACAGG
rnacentral:rRNA from 1 species